GUCCAAUCUGAAACAAGCCCAACCAAACUCUCCACAGUCGAGAAAUUUCAUAUCACUACCCUUGAAAUCGAAGCAAAAUUCAAUCAUCAAAUGACUAAGAUCAACAGUGUUAUGAAUGGAAGUCGAAUACGAUUACAUAAAGUAAGGAAAACAAGGGUUCAAAAUAAAAUUUCAAAAGCACACCAACAACACUCUAUUCAAUUCAUAUGGGAGUUUAUAUUCAUUUGAUUAUAAGCAUCUAAGCAGACUAUGUACAUAAGGCAAUUUCAAUGAACAUCCACGCAGGAAUUAGAAUCAUAAAUCAGGAAUCUUAUAUGAAUUUAAAGGAGACCAAGUUGACAAAAAUACUAAAGAAUCGAACCUUUGAUGCAGCAAAAGAUUUUUCAUUAACAAAAACUCCAUGAAUCUACAUAAAAGCUUUGAGCAGAAAAACUUUGUCGGAAUUCAACGGACCUCCAGCCCUGCCGGAAAACGGUUAUGGUUGUAGUGUGAUGCCGCUGGAUUUGCUGUAUUUUAAGGGUUGUUUUGAACUGGAGUUUAGGGUAGCUUCAACAGAGAUGUUGGAGCUGCUUUGAUGAUGCAAAUGGGAGCUUUCAAUGGUUGGUUUUCAUGGCUUCUUUGAGGUGAGUCUUUGAGUUAAAAUGGUGAAGAUUACAUGGCUGUUCACUCUCGUUCCUCUGCUCUGUUCCCUACUUUUCACUCCUUGUUUUUUCUUUUGUGCAGGUUCGGCGAUGGACCUAAAAAAUGAGCGGUGGCUCGUUGAUUUUUAGAUAGUGGAAGGGGCGGCAGAUGUGGGGUAGCGUUGCUGUUUAGGGAUGGAAAAUCAGAGAGAGAGGUGUUCUUUUUCUUUCUCUUUUUGAUGCUCUGUUUUUUUUGUUCCCCUGAAUUUUUGUUCCCCCUACCCUUUCGUUUCCUCAGUUUUCUUUCUUAUAAAAUGUGUGUCCAUGAAUAUUUUGGAAAGAAGAAAAUAGAUAGGAAGAAGCCUUGUCGUCCCCACUAUUAUAAUUAGGAUAAAGAAGAAUAAAUUUUAUUAUGGGAAAGAAUCUUCCAAAUG
rnacentral:lncRNA from 1 species